UUCAUUGAGAUAGUCGGGCUUGAUUGGGAAACAAUAACAUGCCGUUAGGUGCUCGUUCUGGGUAAAUAGAGUUUCUAGCAUUUAUGUUAGUUACUUGUUCCCCGGAUAGUUUAGUUACGUAGCCAAUUGUGGAACUUUCUUGCUAAAAUUUUUAAGAAUACUAUUUGGGUUAAACCAAUUAGUUCUUAUCAAUUAUAACGAUUAUCAAUUAACAAUCAAUUCAGAACUGGCACGGACUUGGGGAAUCCGACUGUCUAAUUAAAACAAAGCAUUGUGAUGGCCCUAGCGGGUGUUGACACAAUGUGAUUUCUGCCCAGUGCUCUGAAUGUCAAAGUGAAGAAAUUCAAGUAAGCGCGGGUCAACGGCGGGAGUAACUAUGACUCUCUUAAGGUAGCCAAAUGCCUCGUCAUCUAAUUAGUGACGCGCAUGAAUGGAUUAACGAGAUUCCUACUGUCCCUAUCUACUAUCUAGCGAAACCACAGCCAAGGGAACGGGCUUGGAAUAAUUAGCGGGGAAAGAAGACCCUUUUGAGCUUGACUCUAAUCUGGCAGUGUAAGGAGACAUAAGAGGUGUAGAAUAAGUGGGAGAUAUUAGACCUCGGUUUGGUAUCGUCAAUGAAAUACCACUACUCUUAUUGUUUCCUUACUUACUUGAUUAAAUGGAACGUGUAUCAUUUCCUAGCCAUUAUACGGAUAUAUUUAUUAUAUCUUAUGGUAUUGGGUUUUGAUGCAAGCUUCUUGAUCAAAGUAUCACGAGUUUGUUAUAUAAUCGCAAACAAAUUCUUUAAUAAAACGAUGCAUUUAUGUAUUUUUGAUUUGAAAAUUUGGUAUAACUCCAAUUACUCAGGUAUGAUCCAAUUCAAGGACAUUGCCAGGUAGGGAGUUUGACUGGGGCGGUACAUCUCUCAAAUAAUAACGGAGGUGUCCCAAGGCCAGCUCAGUGCGGACAGAAACCACACAUAGAGCAAAAGGGCAAAUGCUGACUUGAUCUCGGUGUUCAGUACACACAGGGACAGCAAAAGCUCGGCCUAUCGAUCCUUUUGGUUUAAAGAGUUUUUAACAAGAGGUGUCAGAAAAGUUACCAUAGGGAUAACUGGCUUGUGGCGGCCAAGCGUUCAUAGCGACGUCGCUUUUUGAUCCUUCGAUGUCGGCUCUUCCUAUCAUUGUGAAGCAAAAUUCACCAAGCGUUGGAUUGUUCACCCAUGCAAGGGAACGUGAGCUGGGUUUAGACCGUCGUGAGACAGGUUAGUUUUACCCUACUAAUGACAAAACGUUGUUGCGACAGCAUUCCUGCGUAGUACGAGAGGAACCGCAGGUACGGACCAAUGGCACAAUACUUGUUCGAGCGAACAGUGGUAUGACGCUACGUCCGUUGGAUUAUGCCUGAACGCCUCUAAGGUCGUAUCCGUGCUGGACUGCAAUGAUAAAUAAGGGGCAAUUUGCAUUGU
rnacentral:rRNA from 1 species